AUUGAACGCUGGCGGCAUGCUUUACACAUGCAAGUCGAACGGCAGCGCGGGGCAACCCUGGCGGCGAGUGGCGAACGGGUGAGUAAUGCAUCGGAACGUAUCCUGUAAUGGGGGAUAAACGUAGCGAAAGUUACGCUAAUACCGCAUACGCUCGAGAGAGGAAAGUGGGGGAUCGCAAGACCUCACGUUAUAGGAGCGGCCGAUGUCCGAUUAGCUAGUUGGUGGGGUAAAGGCCUACCAAGGCGACGAUCGGUAGCUGGUCUGAGAGGAUGAUCAGCCACACUGGGACUGAGACACGGCCCAGACUCCUACGGGAGGCAGCAGUGGGGAAUUUUGGACAAUGGGCGAAAGCCUGAUCCAGCCAUGCCGCGUGCGGGAAGAAGGCCUUCGGGUUGUAAACCGCUUUAGUCCGGGAAAAAGGGGUGCGAGGAUAAUACCCUCGUGCUUUGAUGGUACUGGAAGAAUAAGCACCGGCUAACUACGUG
rnacentral:rRNA from 1 species